AUUGAACGCUAGCGGCAGGCCUUACACAUGCAAGUCGAACGAGCGGCGGACGGGUGAGUAAUGUAUGGGGACUGCCCGAUAGAGGGGGAUAACUACUGGAAACGGUGGCUAAUACCGCAUACUAUCGGAUAACCCAUAUGGGAUUAGCUAGUUGGUGUGGUAAAGGCUCACCAAGGCGACGAUCUCUAGCUGGUCUGAGAGGAUGAUCAGCCACACUGGGACUGAGACACGGCCCAGACUCCGACGGAGGCAGCAGUGGGGAAUAUUGCACAAUGGGCGAAAGCCUGAUGCAGCCAUCCCGCGUGUAUGAUGAAGGCCUUAGGGUUGUAAAGUACUUUUGGCAGGGAAGCGUUAUCUGCAGAAGAAGCACCGGCUAACUACGUGCCAGCAGCCGCGGUAAUUC
rnacentral:rRNA from 1 species